AUGUAUCAGAUGAGAAAUUUGUGGUGUGCUCCAUAUCUUAAGGGGCGUUGUUUCCUAGGAUUGAGCAGCAAUCAAAGGAGUGAGAGCUUGAACUCUGUGCUACAUACGCAUCUUGAGGGUAAGAUGUCGUUGUUUGAAAUGCUAGAGCACUAUGAGCGUUGUCUUGCGUCGCGACGGAUUAACGAAGCUCUCCAAGAAGUCGAAGCCUUGCAGUCCGUUCCAUUUACAGAGGAAAAUGCUUCGCCGCUUGAGAAACACGCCGCAACAGUUUUCACACCUAAUGUCUUUAAGAUGGUCUUAUGGAGCAUAGAUGCUGUCAGCAAAUGUCAGAUUAGAGAGAUACUAGAUGGAUCAGAAGAUUCCACUUAUGUUGUGUCCAAGCAGGAAAGAAUGGAUAAAAAGUUUGGAGUGCGCAUUGAAGAGCAAGGAGGUCUCUUGCACAGGGUGAGUUGUUCUUGCCGUAAGCUGGAAUGCGCAGGCACACCAUGUUCCCACAUUUUUUACAUAUUGGGGAUUUUAAAACAAACAAUUCUGCCCAGUUGUUGCGUUCCCACUAGGUGGACUAUGAAUGCAAAAUAUGCAUACGCACCUACCAGAAAAGACCAGAUGUAUGACUAUUCGAUAAGCCUGCAGAGGUACCGCGAGUUGCGGAAUUGUAGUCACGCUGCAAGUUUCAAGGCAUGCCACUCUGAUGAGGACUAUCACCGUCUAAAGAUGCUUUUGCAAGCACAACAUCAUGGCAAGCAAUCAAGUUUUGAACAAGCUGACAGCAAGGAGUCAACUAAUGCUCAGCAUAAUAGCAUUAGGUUUGGCCCGUUGAUGCCGCACUCGGAGAAAGUUGAUAAGGUUCUGGAUCCCGUGCAUGUGCCAGGCCGAGGUGCACCGAAGAAAAGGCUGCAGGCAAAGACAAAGAAGUCGAGAUCACAGAAUAUCUGUGGCUAUUGCAAGAAUCCUGGUCACAAUCGACGUAAAUGC
rnacentral:rRNA from 1 species